rnacentral:lncRNA from 1 species
UGUCAUUUUAAUUGAAGAAUGUACUGUAUUAUUAUAAUUUUUAACUAAUUUAUCUAGUAUAUCAUAAUAUUUAAAAGUUUCAUUAGCAGUAAAGUAUUUAUACAUAUGUUGUUUCAUUGUUCCUAUCCAUCGUUCCACUACACUGGAUUUUUCUUCAUUCUCAGUUGAAUAUAACUUUAUGUUAUUAUCUUUUAACAAUUCUUUUACUUGUCGAUUAUAAAAUUCGGAUCCUUUAUCUGACCAAAUAUAUAUUGGUUUUCUUUCUUUAAAUAAUGUUUUAAAAGCUUCACUGACUGUUACUCCUGUUUUAUUUUUCAAAGGGAUUAACCAACCAUAUUUACUAAAAACAUCUAUAACUGCUAAUAAAUAUUUAUAGUGUUUAUUUUGUUUUGAAUAUGGUUGCAUAUCUAUUAAAUCAAC